UUGGCGUCUUUAUUAUACAGCCAAAUAAUGAAAGAAUUAAAAUUGAAAUUAAUAAGUUACAGAAGUGGAUUAGGCUUAAUAUUAAUAAUUUUGUUUUUCUUACCUUUUGUAUAAUGGUUGAACUAUUAUAUAAUUAAAUAAUUAUUCCCGAAAUAAGAAGAGCUAGUUACUAACUUUUAUUAGAAUAUAACAAUUAUGUGGAAAUAUGGUUUUAAGAUUGGUAAUUAGGGGCGAAAUACUUUCAAUUCUUAUGAUAUCUGGAAACCUCUGAAAAGCAUUUAGUGCUGAAAAAUUUAGCCAUGAAGUGUUUAAAUUUUAUGGGAUAAUAGGACUUAAGAUAAAAUUUUAUUUUCUUAGGGUUAAACUCCGAGUUUAUUUAAAUAAAAUAGAUUUAUUUCUAUCUUUGUCUAGCAGUAGUAGGAGGUUUUCUUAGAAAAUUUGUUCUAAGUGUGAUAAUGUUUAAAUUAGUAAUAAAUAUUUUUAGGUUAAUGGUGUUUAUUAGUGUAAGUAGACCUGUUGCUAAUAGAAAAUAGCUUGAAGGAAUUCGGCAAAAACAAACUUGGACUGUUUAACAAAAACAUAGCCAUAAGCUAAUAUUUAUGGUUAAACCUGCCCAAUGCGAAAAGUGAAUGGCCGCGGUACUCUGACCGUGCUAAGGUAGCGUAAUCAGUUGGCUUUUAAAUGGAGUCAGGAAUGAAUGGAUUAACCGGGUUUAGCUGUCUCUGAGUUAUUAAUUUGAAUUUACUGUCUAAGUGAAAAAGCUUAGAACUGGAAAAGGGACGAGAAGACCCUUAGAAUUUUCUCUAAAAAUGGUGUGUUCUUAUAGAAUUUACUUUUAAAUGAUUUUAUUGGGGCGAUAAAGAAAUAUUUAACAACUUUCUUUUUUUACAUGCCGAUUAUAUUAAGACAGGAUAAAUUACCUGAGGGAUAACAGCAUAAUUCUAUAGAUGAGUUUGUGACCUCGAUGUUGGACUAGGAAACUAGCAAGCUAGCCGUUUGUUGUGUGGGUUCUGUUCGAACUUUAAAUCCUACAUGAUCUGAGUUCAGACCGGCGUAAGCCAGGUCAGAUUCUAUCUUUUUAAUUUAUGGUUUUAGUACGAAAGGACCGAACUGUAUUAUAAUAGUGUAUAAAUUUAAUUGGCUUGGCAGAAAUUAAAUGCGCCUGAU
rnacentral:rRNA from 1 species